CGGGGACAAGACGCUACGAGGAAACACGAGACCAGGAAGUCAGCUCUCAUAAAAGAAAAAUGAUAUAAACAUCCUUCGGGAACCACACGCCUGUGCUGUGACGCUGCAUGUGUCUGGGUGGUGACCGAGGAGCUCUGGUCGCCAGCGAGCCCUUGAAGCUGGGGCCCCUCUCCCCCUCCAUCUCCAGGCAUCCGUGGAGGCCUGCAGAGCCGGUCGUACCACCCGAAAUGGAAAUCUCUGACAUUUCUGUGGCUGCCAGGGGGCUGGGAAAUGCACGAAGAGGCCACGGACGCUGCAGCCCAGCUGGAUGGCUCUGCCUAGCAAAGCUGCAUCCAGAAGACUAACGGAUGUGGGCCGUGGCUCCAGGAAGCAGCCCACAUGGCUGUUUGACUUCACGCCAAGGAGGCUUCAUGGGGACAAACAGCUGCAGGCUGACACGCAGAGGCUCAGAACUUCGCCUGCCCCUGGUGCACACGACCCUGUGUGUAACAGAGCCCAUGAGAGCCCCAUGUGGCCAGAGCCUGGGGAGGGGAGAGCUGGCAGCUCACAGGAACGAAGUAGGUAAGGAACAGAACUGGAGCCGAGAGAGGGAGACCGGCAGCACGUUCCCGGGGCGCAGAGGGCGCUCCCCUAGCCGCCGGGAGCAACGUCAAGGGGGCGAGCCUGUCACCAGCACGGCGCAGCCCUUGGACGAGGCGGUCAACUGCCCCGCUUGGGCUUUUGUCCAGAAGCCGCACUCGUGACCUGGAAAACAAGGAACCAGCGUGUCCAGCAUGCUAACUUGUGGUGACCAAGGCGGGAAAUACGCCCAAGGCCCGCUCAGCCCACGAGAGCGGGCGCGCCCCACCUUUGCCGGGCCUCUCCAGGAGAGCGGGCGCGAGCUCAGCUCUCCACGCGGGUUCACGGGCUGCCUUUGUCAACAAUGGGGGGGGGAGUGGACAAGAACACAUUUUUCUUUGAUUUUCUUUGCAUAAAGAAGGUCUGAAAGGACCCUGAAGAACAUGGUGGAAGAAUGUGACCGCAUUCCUUGUCACUCCCCGCCUUGUGUAGACGGCUUAGUCACCGGUCCAAACCCCAAUCCGGAAUGAAUACAAGUCUCCUCUGGGGUCCCUAAAGUAACGUAAGCAAGUGGCCCAGAGCCCCUGAGGCCCCCAGAGUCCCCGUAAGAUGGGCUGGGUCCCCCCAUCCUGGGGGGACAGUCAGGAGGGCCGGGCGAGCCUGGGCCUUGUGUGAAGCAGGGGGGCCAGAAGGCGGGGGUCCCGGGGGAAAGCAAAGAGGUCCUUUCCCGAGGGGGUUUUGUCAACCCUUAAAAUAAAAUAGCCAGUUAUUUUACCAGCAAAACGGGUUUAUGCAGGGACAUUAGAGGAAGUGCACUUGUGGCCGUGCAUAAAAACUGGCAUAGGCAAGUCUGAAGAGAACGGGAAGGUCCGCUUGACUAGGGUGUAGGAGGAAACUGGGAAGGCUCGUUUGCUGGAGGAGAUGAAGGGCUGGCUGGGAGCGGUGGUCAGUGCGUGGCUGCUGGGGGGGAUGGGCAAUGCUCCUCCUUCCCCUUAAAAGUGGGAGAGGAAAUUCCUAUGUGAGAAUGUCCUCCCUCCUCUUGUUGGUUGGGGGCCGCAGCGAGGGUCUGUCCUCCGUGUGAGGGUCUUCUCCACAGCUGCCCCGCUCCGUGGCCAACACAGGAGCUUCGCCGGUUCUCCCGUCCUCACCUGGCCACCGGCAGUGGUGACCGUCACCGGACAGGCAGGCCGUUGAGAGUCCGAGGAGCACAAAGCAACCAUGUACGUCUGCUGGCAGGAGACAGGGUGUUCCCAG